CAGAUCGGUUUUAAAAUGGAUUUGUCUAUAUCUAAAGAGUUCUCGGCGUGUGCACGACGAACACUUCACAACUACGCGCAGGUUUUACCACUCGUUCGUCCGAAUGUUCGCUGAGAAAACACACAGGCUCAGAAUUUGGACUUGGCCGCGCUACCGUUGUUGUGGUCUCUUCGAAGCGGACCGGGUACCGCCUGGAACUACGCCGUGCCUGGGAAAUAUAAUUACGUUACAAAUACGUAUUAUUUGAUUGAAACUAACGUGUGAAAUAUACAUUAACGAAAGAGAUCGAUAAACUAAGAAAGCAAGGGCUGGCGUGAAUGCAGAAUAUCUUCCUCGCAGCUCUGGUGAAGGUCCUGGGAUCCAGCGUGUAGGAGCCGUAGACCAGCGGGUCCAUGCACGAGUUGGACACGGC